rnacentral:tRNA from 1 species
GCCUGGGUGGCUCAGUCAGUUAAGCGUCUGACUUCGGCUCAGGUCAUGAUCUCAUGGUCUGUGAGUUCGAGCCCCACGUCGGGCU